UGGACGAUAUGCAUUCAGA
rnacentral:misc_RNA from 1 species